AGAGUUUGAUCCUGGCUCAGAAUCAACGCUGGCGGCGUGCCUCAGACAUGCAAGUCGAACGAUUAAACUUUCCUUCGGGAAAGAUAUAAAGUGGCGCACGGGUGAGUAACACGUAGGUAAUCUACCUUUUGAGUGGGGAACAACUUAGGGAAACUUAAGCUAAUACCGCAUAAUGCAAUAAUAUCGAUGAUAUUAUUGCUAAAGGAGCAAUCCGCUUAAAGAGGAGCCUGCGGCAGAUUAGCUAGUUGGUAAGGUAAUGGCUUACCAAGGCUACGAUCUGUAUCCGACCUGAGAGGGUGGUCGGACACACUGACACUGAAUAACGGGUCAGACUCCUACGGGAGGCAGCAGUCGGGAAUUUUGGGCAAUGGGCGAAAGCCUGACCCAGCAACGCCGCGUGAAGGAUGAAGUCUUUCGGGAUGUAAACUUCGUAAGAAUAGGAAGAAUAAAUGACGGUACUAUUUGUAAGGUCCGGCUAACUACGUGCCAGCAGCCGCGGUAAUACGUAGGGACCAAGCGUUGUUCGGAUUUACUGGGCGUAAAGGGCGUGUAGGCGGCGUGACAAGUCAGUUGUGAAAUCUCCGAGCUUAACUCGGAACGGUCAACUGAUACUGUUGUGCUAGAGUACAGAAGGGGCAAUCGGAAUUCUUGGUGUAGCGGUGAAAUGCGUAGAUAUCAAGAGGAACACCUGAGGUGAAGACGGGUUGCUGGGCUGAUACUGACGCUGAGGCGCGAAAGCUAGGGUAGCAAACGGGAUUAGAUACCCCGGUAGUCCUAGCCCUAAACGAUGAAUACUUGGUGUCUGGAGUAUUAUUUCUCUGGGUGCCGUCGCUAACGUUUUAAGUAUCC
rnacentral:rRNA from 1 species